GAUGAACGCUGGCGGCGUGCCUAAUACAUGCAAGUCGAGCGAACGGACGAGAAGCUUGCUUCUCUGAUGUUAGCGGCGGACGGGUGAGUAACACGUGGAUAACCUACCUAUAAGACUGGGAUAACUUCGGGAAACCGGAGCUAAUACCAGAUAAUAUUUUGAACCGCAUGGUUCAAAAGUGAAAGACGGUCGUGCUGUCACUUAUAGAUGGAUCCGCGCUGCAUUAGCUAGUUGGUAAGGUAACGGCUUACCAAGGCAACGAUGCAUAGCCGACCUGAGAGGGUGAUCGGCCACACUGGACAUGAGACACGGUCCAGACUGCUACGGGAGGCAGCAGUAGGGCAUCUUCCGCAAUGGGCGAAAGCAUGACGGAGCAACGCAGCGUGAGUGAUGAAGGUCUUCGGAUCGUAAAACUCUGUUAUUAGGGAAGAACAUAUGUGUAAGUAACUGUGCACAUCUUGACGGUACCUAAUCAGAAAGCCACGGCUAACUACGUG
rnacentral:rRNA from 1 species